rnacentral:rRNA from 1 species
CGCCAGACUCCUACGGGAGGCAGCAGUGGGGAAUAUUGCACAAUGGGGGAAACCCUGAUGCAGCGACGCCGCGUGAGUGAAGAAGUAUUUCGGUAUGUAAAGCUCUAUCAGCAGGGAAGAAAAUGACGGUACCUGAGUAAGAAGCCCCGGCUAACUACGUGCCAGCAGCCGCGGUAAUACGUAGGGGGCAAGCGUUAUCCGGAUUUACUGGGUGUAAAGGGAGCGUAGACGGCAGUGCAAGUCUGGAGUGAAAGGCGGGGGCUCAACCCCCGGACUGCUCUGGAAACUGUACGGCUGAGUGCAGGAGAGGUAAGUGGAAUUCCUAGUGUAGCGGUGAAAUGCGUAGAUAUUAGGAGGAACACCAGUGGCGAAGGCGGCUUACUGGACGGUAACUGACGUUGAGGCUCGAAAGCGUGGGGAGCAAACAGGAUUAGAUACCCGCGUACUG